UUGGAGGGCAAGUCUGGUGCCAGCAGCCGCGGUAAUUCCAGCUCCAAUAGCGUAUAUUAAAGUUGUUGCAGUUAAAAAGCUCGUAGUUGAACUUCGGGGUUUACCCAUUGGUCAGGCUUAAUUGUCUGUACUGGUGAGAUGAAUCUCUACCUUCUGAGGAACUUUCAUGCCAUUUAUUUGGUGUGAUGGGAAAUCAGGACUGUUACUUUGAAAAAAUUAGAGUGUUUAAAGCAGGCUAACGUCUGAAUACAUUAGCAUGGAAUAAUAAAAUAGGACGGUGGUCCUGUUUUGUUGGUUUCUGAAUCACCGUAAUGAUUAAUAGGGAUUGUUGGGGGCAUUAGUAUUCAAUUGUCAGAGGUGAAAUUCUUGGAUUUAUUGAAGACUAACUUCUGCGAAAGCAUUUGCCAAGGAUGUUUUCAUUAAUCAAGAACGAAAGUUAGGGGAUCGAAGACGAUCAGAUACCGUCGUAGUCUUAACCAUAAACUAUGCCGACUAGGGAUCGGACGAUGUUAAAUUUUAUUGACUCGUUCGGCGCCUUACGGGAAAC
rnacentral:rRNA from 1 species